rnacentral:rRNA from 1 species
GACGGGGGGGGCAAGUGUUCUUCGGAAUGACUGGGCGUAAAGGGCACGUAGGCGGUGAAUCGGGUUGAAAGUGAAAGUCGCCAAAAAGUGGCGGAAUGCUCUCGAAAACCAAUUCACUUGAGUGAGACAGAGGAGAGUGGAAUUUCGUGUGUAGGGGUGAAAUCCGUAAAUAUACGAAGGAACGCCAAAAGCGAAGGCAGCUCUCUGGGCUCCCUCAC